rnacentral:lncRNA from 1 species
GCGGGCUGUUGUGCUUCGAGCCCGACAUGCUGAACGCAAAUACACACAAGCGCGCGCGAGCUGCCUCUCAUCAGCACACACACACCCCGGAGCAGCGGCAGCGGCGGCGGUAGAGGAGGAGCAGCCGGCGGGAUGUGGUGAUGUGGGGAUGCUGCUGGACUGUGUGCUGAUCAGCUGAGGAGGGCGGCCAUGGAGCAGAGAGUGCCGCGCUUGAUAUUUGAGGUGACAUCUGCCCCCCUCUGAGAGGCUGAUAAUAAAUGGUAAGUAAACAUAGCA